rnacentral:rRNA from 1 species
AGCAGCCCAGAGCCUGAAUCAGUGUGUGUGUUAGUGGAAGCGUCUGGAAAGGCGCGCGAUACAGGGUGACAGCCCCGUACACAAAAAUGCACAUGCUGUGAGCUCGAUGAGUAGGGCGGGACACGUGGUAUCCUGUCUGAAUAUGGGGGGACCAUCCUCCAAGGCUAAAUACUCCUGACUGACCGAUAGUGAACCAGUACCGUGAGGGAAAGGCGAAAAGAACCCCGGCGAGGGGAGUGAAAAAGAACCUGAAACCGUGUACGUACAAGCAGUGGGAGCACGCUUAGGCGUGUGACUGCGUACCUUUUGUAUAAUGGGUCAGCGACUUAUAUUCUGUAGCAAGGUUAACCGAAUAGGGGAGCCGAAGGGAAACCGAGUCUUAACUGGGCGUUAAGUUGCAGGGUAUAGACCCGAAACCCGGUGAUCUAGCCAUGGGCAGGUUGAAGGUUGGGUAACACUAACUGGAGGACCGAACCGACUAAUGUUGAAAAAUUAGCGGAUGACUUGUGGCUGGGGGUGAAAGGCCAAUCAAACCGGGAGAUAGCUGGUUCUCCCCGAAAGCUAUUUAGGUAGCGCCUCGUGAAUUCAUCUCCGGGGGUAGAGCACUGUUUCGGCAAGGGGGUCAUCCCGACUUACCAACCCGAUGCAAACUGCGAAUACCGGAGAAUGUUAUCACGGGAGACACACGGCGGGUGCUAACGUCCGUCGUGAAGAGGGAAACAACCCAGACCGCCAGCUAAGGUCCCAAAGUCAUGGUUAAGUGGGAAACGAUGUGGGAAGGCCCAGACAGCCAGGAUGUUGGCUUAGAAGCAGCCAUCAUUUAAAGAAAGCGUAAUAGCUCACUGGUCGAGUCGGCCUGCGCGGAAGAUGUAACGGGGCUAAACCAUGCACCGAAGCUGCGGCAGCGACGCUUAUGCGUUGUUGGGUA